UUAACUUAUUUAGUUUUCGCUCAGACUGCAAUCUUCAUACAGAGUUCAAUGGUGUCUUCGGUGCGCGCGGACCCGGGGGCAGAAGCCCCCCGGCGGCCGUGAGGCGGGCGCACCGAAGCAACAAGGUACAAUAAACACGGGUGGGAGGUUGGACCCAGAGGGCCCUCACUCAGUAAUGAUCCUUCCGCAGGUUCACCUACGGAAA
rnacentral:misc_RNA from 1 species